rnacentral:rRNA from 1 species
AAAUUGAAGAGUUUGAUCAUGGCUCAGAUUGAACGCUGGCGGCAGGCCUAACACAUGCAAGUCGAACGGUAACAGGAAGCAGCUUGCUGCUUCGCUGACGAGUGGCGGACGGGUGAGUAAUGUCUGGGAAACUGCCUGAUGGAGGGGGAUAACUACUGGAAACGGUAGCUAAUACCGCAUAAUGUCGCAAGACCAAAGAGGGGGACCUUCGGGCCUCUUGCCAUCGGAUGUGCCCAGAUGGGAUUAGCUUGU